rnacentral:lncRNA from 1 species
UUUAGUUUAUACCAUGCUUUCACGGAAUUUGUUACCAGAAGGUGUUUAGACUCAGCAGCAGCAUAAUGGACAGCUGCUCGAGGCCCCCCGGUUUGGGCCUCACUCACAAGAUUUUGAGCUUUCUGUGAUGCUGUUUCAAUUAGACUAUGUACUUGGCUGGCAACCCGCUUGGCCAAAGGGGGAGCGUGCUCGUCAAACUUGCGUGAAGCAUCAUCCACCUGCAGUAUUAUUAAGUUAAUUACUCCUGUCAUCUAGGUUAUUUGCCAAAGUUCAUUGCAGAAAUCAAAUAAUCAGGGAAUUCAUAGUCACAGAGACAGCUCUGUAAUGAAUACAUCAGAACCCAAAGAAUAAAAUUAAAUAAAAAUUGGAUAUUUUAGGAACCACAACAGGAGUUCUUCACUUCAUAUAUUAGAUUAUAAAUUCAUAAUCACACAAAAUCAAAUCUUAUUUAUAAGAUCAUGCCUAAAAGAUCCCAAAUCAACAAAUUCCAGAAUCCCAAAGCUAAGAAAAAUCCGAUAUUCUCUCCACCAACGUUCAGAAGAACCCAAACCUCACAGGAACUAUUUUGAAAAAAUUAUUCUAAAUCUUAGAAUGAUGAAAAUAAAGAAAGAAAAUAAAAAUUGAUCUGAGGAGAAUAAAACAAAAAAACAAACAAAUAAUACCUUCUUAUCAAGAAAAACGAGGAGAUCAUCAGGCACGCCCUUGAAUUUCAGAUAAACAGGUCCCACGACGGCAGUCACGGCGCUUUCGACAGUCCCAACCGGCGAGCGUAGCGGCCCCGAGUUGCGUUUUGCGUAGUCGUACAAACUCGACACGCACACCAGAGCCUGAAUCGCGGCUAUCCUCAUAAAUCCAAGAUGCCUCAGUUCCUGUUUCUUCCUCUCAGUCUCCAUAUCUUCACUGCGCAAAAGAUGAAUUAUUCGAUAUUGCUU